CAAUAGGCGUACCAUUAAAGUUGUUGUGGUUAAAAAGCUCGUAUUUUAACCUUGGGCCUGGCUGGCCGGUCCCCCUCACCGGGUGCACUGAUCCAGCCGGGCCUUUCCCUCUGUGGAACCCCAUGGCCUUCACUGGCUGUGCGGGGGAAACAGGACUUUUACUGUGAAAAAAUUAGGGUGCUCCAGGCAGGCCUAUGCUCGAAUACAUUAGCAUGGAAUAAUAGAAUAGGACGUGUGGUUCUAUUUUGUUGGUUUCUAGGACCGCCGUAAUGAUUAAUAGGGACAGUCGGGGGCAUCAGUAUUCAGUUGUCAGAGGUGAAAUUCUUGGAUUUGCUGAAGACUAACUACUGCGAAAGCAUUCGCCAAGGAUGUUUUCAUUAAUCAGGGAACGAAAGUUAGGGGAUCGAAGACGAUCAGAUACCGUCGUAGUCUUAACCAUAAACUAUGCCGACUGGGGAUCGG
rnacentral:rRNA from 1 species